UACGUAGGGUCCGAGCGUUGUCCGGAAUUAUUGGGCGUAAAGAGCGUGUAGGCGGCCAUGUAGGUCCGGUGUGAAAACUCGAGGCUUAACCUCGAGAUGUCAUCGGAAACCAUUUGGCUAGAGUCCGGAAGAGGAAAGCGGAAUUCCACGUGUAGCGGUGAAAUGCGUAGAGAUGUGGAGGAACACCAGUGGCGAAGGCGGCUUUCUGGUCUGUAACUGACGCUGAGGCGCGAAAGCGUGGGGAGCAAACAGG
rnacentral:rRNA from 1 species